UACAGAGGUCCCGAGCGUUGUUCGGAUUCAUUGGGCGUAAAGGGUGCGUAGGCGGUCUUCUAAGUUUGAUGUGAAAUCCCGGGGCUCAACCCUGGAAUUGCAUUGAAUACUGGAGGACUCGAGUCCCGGAGAGGAAACUGGAAUUUACGGUGUAGCAGUGAAAUGCGUAGAGAUCGUAAGGAAGACCAGUGGCGAAGGCGAGUCUCUGGACGGGUACUGACGCUGAGGCACGAAGGCCAGGGGAGCAAACGGG
rnacentral:rRNA from 1 species